UGUUUUCGAAUUUUUUCAUGCAUCAAAGCUCGUUAAGACUAGAUGGUGUAUCCCUACAUAGCGGGUGGGACCCACGGCGAAUGGUUCAUCAAGUCUUCAAAAAAGAAUAUAUACGAUUGCAUUGCAUAUACUAACGGAUGCGAUCAUACCAGCACUAAUGCACCGGAUCCCAUUAGAACUCUGCAGUUAAGCGUGCUUGGGCGAGAGUAGUACUAGGAUGGGUGACCUCCCGGGAAGUCCUCGUGUUGCAUCCCUCUUUUAUGUUUAACCUCUUUUU
rnacentral:rRNA from 1 species